rnacentral:rRNA from 1 species
GGCAAACGGGUGAGUAACACGUGGAUAACUUACCUGUGGGUGAGGAAUAACUCGUCGAAAGGCGGGCUAAUACCGCAUAACAUUCUCGGGACAUAAGUCGUGAGAAUCAAAGCCCCAAAAGGGUGCCUGCAGAGAGGUCCGCGGCUGAUUAGCUAGUUGGUAGGGUAAUGGCCUACCAAGGCUCCGAUCAGUAGCCGGCCUGAGAGGGUGUACGGCCACACUGGAACUGAGACACGGUCCAGACUCCUACGGGAGGCAGCAGUGGGGAAUUUUGCGCAAUGGGCGAAAGCCUGACGCAGCAACGCCGCGUGAGUGAUGAAGUCCUUCGGGAUGUAAAACUCUGUCGUCUGGGACGAAACGGCCCGCAAGGGUCACUGACUGUACCAGGUGAGGAAGCCCCGGCUAACUCCGUGCCAGCAGCCGCGGUAAUACGGAGGGGGCAAGCGUUGUUCGGAAUUACUGGGCGUAAAGGGCGUGUAGGCGGUUAGGUAAGUCAGUUGUGAAAGCCCCGAGCUUAACUUGGGAAUUGCAACUGAAACCGCCUAGCUAGAGUUUUGGAGAGGAAAGCGGAACUCCCAGUGUAGCGGUGAAAUGCGUAGAUAUUGGGAGGAACACCGGUGGCGAAGGCGGCUUUCUGGACAAAAACUGACGCUGAGGCGCGAAAGCUAGGGGAGCAAACGGGAUUAGAUACCCCGGUAGUCCUAGC